AUAGGCCGCGAGCUCAUCCUCCACCGCCGGAACUUUCCACCACCACCGGAUGCCCGGGGCGGUCGUAUUCGGUAUUAGCCACCGUUUCCGGUAGUUAUCCCAAAGUGAAGGGCAGAUUACUCACGUGUUACUCACCCGUUCGCCGCUCGUGUACCCCCGAAGGGGCCUUACCGCUCGACUUGCAUGUGUUAAGCACGCCGCCAGCGUUCGUCCUGAGCCAGGAUCAAACUCUAAUCUAGAGCAUCGCGAGUCGACG
rnacentral:rRNA from 1 species